GUUUGUUUUAUUUAUUUAUUUGCAUAAGCCAAUUCCUAAAGUGAUUUCUACCAUUUGAUGCGCGGUUCCCAAAAACAAAGUUGAUAAGUAUAUAUGUUAUUGGGUAGAAGAAAUCUAUUCAUUUUCUUACUCAAACAGUCUACCUUCUUCCCCAAAAAGAAGAACCACCAUUUUCUUCUUUCAAGUUAACCUCGUAGAGAAAUUUCAAGUGAUAGCUCCAAUAUCUUGAAAGAAAAGGUUCCAGCUAGGAACGAGCGUGACACUAGGGUACAAGUGAGUAAAGGAGAUACAUCAGGUUAAGUUUGGAUGAAGAUGGAAGUGUGCUGAGCUGGAGCUUUUUGUUUAUGUAAAUAGUAAUAGGCUCAGGAUAUUGUGUCUUCAUACAUAAUGUCCAAUGAUGUACUCCGCUGCAACACUUUGUCUCUCUUAUCACUUUUGCCGUGUUGUAGAGUGUUUUAAAAACCUUAACCUGUAUAUGAGCCUGACAAAUCUUGGUUAUGAUGUUUAUUUGGUUUAAACUUCUUUUGUUAAAGUUUGAUGAUGCCGAACCUUGUGAAAUUCAUUGAUCAUGUAUGUAAGUUGUUAAUUAUUUA